rfam:Chlorocebus sabaeus isolate 1994-021 chromosome 8, whole genome shotgun sequence.
GCCAAGUGUGGUGGCAUGUGCCUGUAAUCCCAGCUACUUGGGAGGCUGAGGCAGGAGAAUUGCCUGAAUCCAGGAGGCGGAGAUUUCAGUGAGCCAAGAUCGUGCACUCCAGCCUGGGCCACAGAGCAAGACUCCANNNNNNNNNNUCGCCUCGUCCCUUCCUCUUUUUUUUUUUUUUUUUUUGUAUGGAGUCUUGCUCUGUGGCCCAGGCUGGAGUGCACGAUCUUGGCUCACUGAAAUCUCCGCCUCCUGGAUUCAGGCAAUUCUCCUGCCUCAG